UCCCUGGAAGACUAGUGGUUAGGCCACGGCGUUCAUACUGCAGCGGCAUGGGCUCAAUUCCCGGCCAGGGAA